CAGACCGAUACGUUCUUCCGAGUGCCGCGGGGCCGGCUCAAGCUGCGCAGGACACAGGACGGUCGGGGCGAGCUGAUUUUCUACGAGCGUCCCGACAGCGCCGGCCCCAAACUCUCGAGUUUCAGCAUCACCCCCACGGCCGACCCCGAGGGGCUGCAGGCAGUGCUGUCCCAGUCCCUGGGCGUGCUGGGCACCGUGAGG